AAGCAGAAAGAGGCUCAUUGUAGCAUUGUCAAAAUUCUACACAAUGCUCCAGAAUGCUGAUUGUUCCUGGGGCUGGGACAGGAGGUCUUGGGGCCACCUACGGGGGUGCUGGCAACACUGGUGUUACUGUGGACCAGAGAAGCGCCGCUGCUCCAUGAAAUCCCGCUGGAAGGAGGUCCUCAUAGAAGGCCUGGACCUCUCCUGCACAGAAGAGAGGACCACCUUCAUCGUGUGUGUCGGAAGAGUCACUGAGCUCAGUGGGGAUGUCCUCAUUGUCAUUGAAGUCCAGUGAAGGGGAGUUCACAGGAGCGAUCAUCUCAAUCUUCUCCCCCAUGAUGUUGUCAAUGGCGAGCUCCUUUUCCAGGGACCCGUCUCCCUCCAGCGCCUCUUCCUCCAGGGGCAGCCCAUCAAACU
rnacentral:lncRNA from 1 species